AAAUGAACAUAUAUCUGGGCUAUGGGAUGUGUUUUCCCCUCCCUCAUGUGGAAAACCCACUCACAUUAUGAACCUUCUCAUGAAUUGCACAUAAAGAAGAGGGCAGACAGGUGAAGAGGGGAAACUGGACAAGAAGACGGAUGUCAAACCUGCAGAGAGCAUACAGAACACAUGCUGCCUUGAGAAGAUACCACUCUUGAACACAGCCUACACACCUUCCUGAAAAGUACUGGCUAAUUUCAGGUUUCUAGUUAUGUGUAAAUUGGUACCAGGGAUGCAUAAAAUACACGUCUCUUCCCCUUUUCCAGGUUAAUCUACAGGAGCAGAGAGAGUAUGAGAACUUUUCCCUGUGAUAGUCCCAAAUUCCUUUGAUUUGGAACAGAGUAUUGGGACUCUCAUAAGAGACCACACUCCCCUGUGACAUGAAGCCCCUGUGGACAGCAGAAAGAAGGUUUUACCAGUCCUGUAAAAGGACAGAAGUCAGUGGAAGUGGGCUCAGAAAUCUGCAAUACAAUAAAGCCUUGGGGACUUCAUUCCAAGGUCUCACGGUCAGAAGGAGAUGGGUAAGCCCCUCCAUAGUGAACCUGAAGACAAAAAUAUCAGAAGACAAACAGGCCUCCAGCUAGGCUGAGGUUUGGGGUCUUUUUUUGGUUUGCCUAUUUUCUUGUCCUUUUCGAAAUACAAUGCUUGAGUUGCUCUUUAA